rnacentral:rRNA from 1 species
CCUACGGGUGGCAGCAGUGAGGAAUAUUGGUCAAUGGACGCAAGUCUGAACCAGCCAUGCCGCGUGCAGGAAGACGGCACUAUGAGUUGUAAACUGCUUUUGUACGAGGGUAAACGCAGAUACGCGUAUCUGUCUGAGAGUAUCGUAAGAAUAAGGAUCGGCUAACUCCGUGCCAGCAGCCGCGGUAAUACGGAGGAUUCAAGCGUUAUCCGGAUUUAUUGGGUUUAAAGGGUGCGUAGGCGGUCGGAUAAGUUAGAGGUGAAAUCCCGAGGCUCAACUUCGGAAUUGCCUCUGAUACUGUUCGUCUAGAGAGUAGUUGCGGUAGGCGGAAUGUAUGGUGUAGCGGUGAAAUGCUUAGAGAUCAUACAGAACACCGAUUGCGAAGGCAGCUUACCAAGCUACUUCUGACGUUGAGGCACGAAAGCGUGGGGAGCAAACAGGAUUAGAUACCCUAGUAGUC